UUAAUCAAGUAUAAUAUCUAAAUAUAACACGGAUUAUAAGUACUUCCUUCAAUUCAUACUAUCGUUUUUGAUCUGGAAAAAAUUGGUGCAAUGUAUUUAUGGAAAAUUGCAAGGGUAAACACUCUUAAUACAUUACAAUGCACGAUAGUUUAAUAUAAUAUUCGUACUUGUAAAAGAUAACAUAAGUACAAUAAAAGCCACUCUUAUUAGGAAUUGUAUCCAUUACCGGUAUACAAUAGGGUUAUUGAAACAACAGGUCGGUUAUUUGAAUCAAGAGGAUAUCUAUAAUGUGGUUUUGAAUCCUCAAAAACUCGAAUAGGCUGAUACUGAUGAUGUAGAAGAAUCAAACAGUAUCAAACAGUGAGAGAGCCCCUACAAAUAAAGAAAUUGCGGAAGCAGUCCAGCACCGUGCUAAUGAAAAAAGACGUGAGCAGCAUACUACUAUGAAGGCACUCAA